GUACUACUGACGAGUCCCAAAUAGAAGGAAACAGCUGUCCUGUUC
rnacentral:hammerhead_ribozyme from 1 species